rnacentral:rRNA from 1 species
UACGGGGGGAGCAAGCGUUGUUCGGAUUACUGGGCGUAAAGGGCGCGUAGGCGCCUGGCAAGUCGAUGGUGAAAGCCCGAGGCUCAACUUCGGGUCGGCCACUGAUACUGCUGGGCUUGAGUCGACUAGAGGCAGAUGGAAUUCCGGGGUGUAGCGGUGGAAUGCGUAGAGAUCCGGAAGACACCGGUGGCGAAGGCGGUCUGCUGGGGGUCGAAC